AGGUACAGGUUGGUGGAGGUGGAAACGUUAGGUCCCUGGGUCCCCAGGGCCGCCACCGCGGCAGAGCCCUACCCACUCCCUGCAGGACUCUGUAGCCCGGCGUCCUCCGCCCCACACCCGCCUUCGGUCGGCCGGCCCUUGCCGCGCCUUAGCCCGGCCUGUCCCCACCUAGUCUCCACCUAAUCAGUCCUAGGCCCGGAUCGAGCGCCGGAGCCCGUCCCCAGUUUACCUCACAGCAGCCCACUCUCCUCGCUUCAGACCUGAGGAUCGCCCCCACCCCCCGCCCUGGGUGCGCCCUGGCCCACCUUCCAAUGCAGCUCACCCCUUGUAUUUCUGGGAUCCAGCCCCAGGCUGGCCUGGGAACCUGCUCCGGUUGGGAUCUGAGGGGCCUACUGCAGUGGUUACAGCUCUGGCCUGAGCGUGUGGGCCUCAGGGUUCUAGUUUUGGCUCUGCCGACGAGCCGCUGUGACAUUAGUCUAGCCUCUUUCCGUCCGUGGGCCUGUUUCCCUAAGUGAGCUGCUGCUCCACUCCGUGAGUUAGAGCGCCUCAGUUCCCUUCACUCUGCUGGCCCGCACAGAAACAGCUGACUCUUUCUCUGCUGACAAAUUUUAGGUAGAGUUUGAGAAAGAAGAAACUGAGGGCAGAGAGGGAAGUGAGGAGAAUCAGAUCCCAGAUCUUUGGGGAGAAGGAGCUGUAAGGAGCAGCUGUCCCUCCACCAAAGCCGGAGGGGUGGAAAAAGCAGGUUGAGGAGAGCCAGAGCCCACAGGCCUCCUAGGAUAACAGCCCCAAACAGGCUGGUGGCACCCUCCAGCUGAAGGUGUUCUCUCAGCUCCCCAGGGCAUGUGGUCGUGAGACAGAACCCACAGACCCUGCAGGAACAGGACUCCCAGGGCCAUGGCCCAGGUCAGCAUCAACAGUGACCUUGGCGAGUGGGGCUUAAGCACAGACUCCGGGGAGCGUGCCCGUCUGCUGCAGAGUCCCUCUGUGGACAUAGCCCCCAAGAGUGAGGGGGAGGCCCCUCCUGGGGGUCUGGGCAGAGGCACCACUUCCACACUUGGAGCCAUCUUCAUCGUUGUCAAUGCCUGCCUGGGCGCAGGGCUGCUCAACUUCCCAGCAGCCUUCAGCACUGCCGGGGGAGUGGCAGCUGGCAUCACGCUGCAGAUGGCCAUGCUGGUUUUCAUCAUCAGUGGCCUCGUCAUCCUGGCCUACUGCUCCCAGGCCAGCAAUGAGAGGACCUACCAGGAGGUGGUGUGGGCUGUGUGUGGCAAGCUGACAGGCGUGCUGUGUGAGGUGGCCAUUGCCACCUACACCUUCGGGACCUGCAUCGCCUUCCUCAUCAUCAUCGGGGACCAGCAGGACAAGAUUAUAGCUGUGAUGGCAAAGGAGCCUGAGGGGGCCGGCGGCAGCCCCUGGUACACAGACCGCAAGUUCACCAUCAGCCUCACUGCCUUCCUCUUCAUCCUGCCCCUUUCCAUCCCCAGGGAGAUCGGCUUCCAGAAAUAUGCCAGCUUCCUGAGCGUCGUGGGCACCUGGUAUGUCACUGCCAUCGUUAUCAUCAAAUACAUCUGGCCUGAUAAAGAGAUGACCCCAGCGGACAUCCUGAACAGGCCAGCUUCCUGGAUAGCCGUGUUCAAUGCCAUGCCCACCAUCUGCUUCGGAUUUCAGUGCCAUGUGAGCAGUGUUCCCGUCUUCAACAGCAUGCGGCGGCCUGAGGUGAAGACCUGGGGUGGGGUGGUGACGGCCGCCAUGGUCAUAGCCCUCGCUGUCUACAUGGGCACAGGCAUCUGUGGCUUCCUGACCUUUGGAGCUGCUGUGGACCCCGACGUGCUCCUGUCCUACCCGUCGGAGGACAUGGCUGUGGCCGUCGCCCGUGCCUUCAUCAUCCUGAGCGUGCUAACCUCCUACCCCAUCCUGCACUUCUGUGGGCGGGCGGUGGUCGAAGGCCUGUGGCUGCGCUACCAGGGGAUGCCGGUGGAGGAGGACGUGGGGCGGGAGCGGCGGCGGCGAGUACUGCAGACGCUGGUCUGGUUCCUGCUUACCCUGCUGCUGGCGCUCUUCAUCCCUGACAUCGGCAAGGUCAUCUCGGUCAUUGGAGGGCUGGCCGCCUGCUUCAUCUUCGUCUUCCCAGGGCUGUGCCUCAUUCAAGCCAAACUCUCUGAGAUGGAGGAAGUCAAGCCAGCCAGCUGGUGGGCGAUGGUCAGUUACGGAGUCCUCUUGGUCACCCUGGGAGCCUUCAUCUUCGGCCAGACCACAGCCAACGCCAUUUUUGUGGAUCUCUUGGCAUAACCAGUGCCUCCCAGGGAAUUCUUGGCCUUUGCCGUUGGACCCUGGAACCCAUCUCGUAGAGCUUCAGGACCACCCUGAGUCCGGCAUCAUUCCCCUCUACUGGUGGGAUGACAUCUGGACAUCCUUUUCCAGGGACAGUUCUGGGGUGAAAUCAGGCCCCACAACCCUGGACAGUUUAAACCCAGCUCCCUUCCUGCCCCCGCAUCCUGGCAGUGCCAUGGAUGGUAGGAGGAGGUCUCGUGUCACAGAAGAACCUUCCCCCCUCUUCCACCUCUCAAUUUCUCCAUGCCUGGAAGCCACGGGUGAAGAGAGUCGGUAGGUCUCCGAAGGAACAACUCAGCCUGACUUCCCUCUGGAGAAAGAGUGUGGACCAAGGGCUGCCUUCCUCCACAGAGAAGCCUGCCCUGGGUAGGGGCUGUGCUCAUUACCCCGGGGCUCAGUGCCUGCUCCAGUCUGUCGGCAGCCCAGCCAGCAGUGGCUUCCUCCGGCAAGUUCCAAAGAGGCAGGUGUUGAGAGCAGGCGCUGUUGUCCUGGUUAUGGAGCCUCUCACUGUGCUCAGUGCCGGGGAGAAGAUAUUCAGCAAAACACACCAGCUCUGCUGUCAGUCUACUGGGGAAGACUGAUGCUUAGCAAAUCAUCACAAAUAUAAACAUGCAAGUUGUGAUAAAUGCCAAGAAGGGAAAAUACAGAAUGUUAUAUUUGGGGGUCUGAAGCCUCCCUGGGGAGUCAAGGAAGGUUUCCUGGAGGAAUUGACAUAUGAACUGGCCCCUGAGUGAUGAGUAGAAUGAACUAAGUGAAGAGAGGUGGGGAGACCUUUCCAGGCUGUGGGAAAUGCAUGUGCAAAUGCCCUGUGAUGGGAGGAAUAUGGUCAUUUGAGGAACUGGAAAGUGGCCAUUGUCGGUGGAGCAUUACCUGGGUGUGGGAGAGCAGCAGAGGUGAGAGCAGAGCAUUCUGAGAUGGUCUGCAACGGCUCCCCCUGGUCCUCAGAAUAAAGUCGAACCCGCCCCCACCUUCUACCACACUCCCCAUCCCUGUUCCGGUAUUUUGCAAAGAUCCCUCCCUCCUGGUGGAGGUGGGGACCCUCUCCAAGGAGGAAACAUGUUGCAAGACUAGACAGGUGGGACAGCUUUGGGCCAUGGUUCACACCUGCCUAGUGGACCAAGAGCUUGAGGUUUGGGUUCCCUUUCUCUGAGUGAACAGAGGGAAGGAAAGGUUACAUCUAGGCCACAGGCAAAUGCCCAGCCAAAUUCAUUCAAGUCAAGACUUGUAAGCAUUUAAUCAGUGUCUGUCUCCCUGUUAGACUGUAAGUUCCACGGGAGCAGGGUCACAUCUCCCUUGUCCAUCAGGUAUCUUAGCCAGUGCCUGGCACAUAGCAAGUGUUCAGUAGUUGUUGGACAAAUGAUUGAAUGAAUAUCAACUAACACUUGUUGAUUUCUUACUUUGUGCCAGCACUUAACUUGCAUCAUUCACAUUUGGUCUUCAUGACAACUCUAUGCAAAAGUGAAAGCUGAGAGAUGUUACAUAGUGUGCCCAGGGAGUAAAAUUGGAGCCCUCUUGCCGUGCAUGAAUGAACAAGUGAGCAGAGGGCUCUCUCAAUCUGGUGAUUUCUGACCCCGGAAGGCAAGCUCAGGAACCUCCAGCCCUCAUGCUGGCACCAACAUCAGACCCUAAAACCUUUGACUUACUGUCCCAUCCAAACCGUGUCAAGUUGUGGGAUGCCUGCUGGCUGGUGGCUCUGGGCAAGUCGCUUCCCCUCUCUGGGCUUCUGUUUCCAGAAUCUCUAACAUGGGACUGAUCAUCACUGACCUUACUUACCUCCCAAGAUAAAGGAGAGCCAAUGUCAAGAAAGUACAUGAGAAAAAUGACAGAAGUGCUUUAUAACCAGAAAUCCGCGUUUGCAGAAGAAAUGCGAAAACUCAGUUUCUCCUCAGGAGGACACAGGCAGAGGUUCCCCUAGCACUUCCUGGGAGUCAGGGUGUGGAGGAAGGCCAGAGACAUUGUCGUCAGGAAGAAGGAAGACGGCAGACACCCUGUCCUCCAAAUACUUCCAACAUGUAAAAAGCUUGGAAGUGGCCACUCCAUCCUAACAACAAGUAAAAAGUUGAACAAACUGGAAAGUCAACUCUCUUAGAUAUGUACAAUAAGUCAGAUUAUAAAGCACACCACUGCCCCCAGAAUUGGACAGAAAGACAGACAAAUACAGAGCAGAAACCCACAAGCAGAAACCUCUGUGGGAGUCAGUGCCAGGGUAAGGAAACCUGAACUGUAAUUGGUGAAUUGCUGGAGGCUCAGUGUGGACAAAUCUGAGAAAUAAAAACACCAAGGAAGGGCUUCCCUGGUGGCACAGUGGUUAAGAAUCCACCUGCCAAUGCAGGGGACAUGGGUUCGAUCCCUGGUCUGGGAAGAUCCCACAUGCCACGAAGCAACUAAGCCCGUGAGCCACAACUACUGAGCCUGUGUGCCACAACUACUGAAACCCGUGCGCCUAGAACCGGUGCUCCGCAACAAGAGAAGCCACCACAGUGAGAGGCCCGCGCACCGCAAUGAAGAGUAGCUCCCGCUCGCCGCAACUAGAGAAAGCCCGCGUGCAGCAAUGAAGACCCAGUGCAGCCAAAAAAAACCCGCCAAGGAAUCCAGUCCUACUGGGGGAAGGGAGCAGACUUUGUGACUUUGUGGGUUUUACCUGAAGUUCUACCAGGUUCUCAUAGUAAACAUCAGAAAAAAAUCCCUCAUGUUUCCAGCAGAGGAGGGUAAAAGGAACCAUUUUGAAAUGUGCUAGAGCAUUCUGUUGUUGUUAAUAAGAUAUACCCUCAGGAGACACUUAAAAUUUAACCAGAGCCUAACCUACUGGGAUUUUAUCAGAGCCUAACAGACCUAAGGGAAGGGAAACACACAACUCCAUCCCACUCUAGCCACCCUGGGGGGACUGGAGGGAGAAGAUAAGUGAAGUCCAUAGUCCUUCUCUUAGUGAGCCAGUCCAUCACAGGCUCACUAAGAGACUGUGAUCCAGUCAUAGGACUACAGAACACUUCCCCUUCCCUUACACCUUCCAACCUUAUUACUAAAGGCCAAUCUACAGCAGUUCCUUUUACCUAGUACAUUAUGUCUGGCUAUCAAUAAAAAAUUACAAGAUAUACUAAAAGGCAAAAAACAUAGUUUU